rnacentral:rRNA from 1 species
UGCCUUACACAUGCAAGUCGAACGGCAGCACGGGGGCAACCCUGGUGGCGAGUGGCGAACGGGUGAGUAAUACAUCGGAACGUGUCCUGGAGUGGGGGAUAGCCCGGCGAAAGCCGGAUUAAUACCGCAUACGCUCGAGAGAGGAAAGCGGGGGAUCUUCGGACCUCGCGCUCAAGGGGCGGCCGAUGGCGGAUUAUCUAGUUGGUAGGGUAAAGGCCUACCAAGGCGACGAUCCGUAGCUGGUCUGAGAGGACGACCAGCCACACUGGGACUGAGACACGGCCCAGACUCCUACGGGAGGCAGCAGUGGGGAAUUUUGGACAAUGGGGGCAACCCUGAUCCAGCAAUGCCGCGUGUGUGAAGAAGGCCUUCGGGUUGUAAAGCAC